CAGGGAGACAACAAAAUGUUAAAUAUUAAUUUUGUCACCUUAGGUCGAUCGGUACCUCACAUUCUUAAUCUUAAGAAUUUUAUUUCCUAAGUUUUUUUCUAGGUCACACCCAUUACUUUUCCUGGGCCAUUAGCUCAGGUGGUUAGAGCGCACCCCUGAUAAGGGUGAGGUCCCUGGUUCAAGUCCAGGAUGGCCCAUAUCUCUAUGUUGGGGGUAUAGCUCAGUUGGUAGAGCGCCUGCUUUGCAAGCAGGAUGUCAGCGGUUCGAGUCCGCUUACCUCCACUGAUCACCACCUCUUCCAUAUUUAUAUAGAUAGGGAAAUGUUUUGAGCUGUGAUCACAUUCUGAACGAAUCUAGCUUCCUAAUUGAUCUUAUUAAGAUGCUGGACUCAUUGAAUUAAUUUCAUUGUUUUCAGAGAACCUUGACAACUGCAUAGAUUAUUUUAAAGACAAUAAGCAUCUUUAAUGAUGCAGAUUUAUUAUUUGUGCGAAAGCAUUAAUAACAAUUCUAUUAAGCUGAUGCUUCAAUUUUUGAAGUUAUUG
rnacentral:tRNA from 1 species